rnacentral:tRNA from 1 species
UUCGUUGUAGCUCAGUGGCAGAGCGUUCCUGGUGAAAACCCAGGAAAGGUCGUGAGUUCAAUUCUCAUCAGCGGCA